AGUGAACGCUGGCGGUAGGCCUAACACAUGCAAGUCGAACGGCAGCACAGUAAGAGCUUGCUCUUACGGGUGGCGAGUGGCGGACGGGUGAGGAAUACAUCGGAAUCUACUUUUUCGUGGGGGAUAACGUAGGGAAACUUACGCUAAUACCGCAUACGACCUACGGGUGAAAGCAGGGGAUCUUCGGACCUUGCGCGAUUGAAUGAGCCGAUGUCGGAUUAGCUAGUUGGCGGGGUAAAGGCCCACCAAGGCGACGAUCCGUAGCUGGUCUGAGAGGAUGAUCAGCCACACUGGAACUGAGAACCGGUCCGGCCCCCUACGGGAGGCAGCAGUGGGAAAUAUUGGACAAUGGGCGCAAGCCUAAUCCAGCCAUACCGCGUGGGUGAAGAAGGCCUCCGGGUUGUAAAGCCCUUUUGUUGGGAAAGAAAAGCAGCAGGUUAAUACCCCGCUGUUCUGACGGUACCCAAGAAUAAGCACCGGCUAACUUCGUG
rnacentral:rRNA from 1 species